CGCGCCCCUUGAUUUCAUACCAUCAGAGAGAAAGUUUUUCUCUCUGAUAUGUAUGUACAAGAGAACGAAAGAACCAUUUUUAUCAUUUGAACUGAACUUGUCAAAUCGCUGCGAGAAAAAGCUGGGAACAGCACUAGUAUGGGGAACAUACAAAUCCCGGGUGGUCAUUUCCUCUCUGAUGGUAUGAUGCACACAAAACAAAAAUAGGAUUGUCGAUUAAAACUGUACACAUUCUACUUUAUGUCAACGUUUAAUUUGUUAAGUACAUUGAUUAAACGAUUAACGAACAAUAUUUUUAAUAUGAGACUACAAUAGGACAAUUGUUUAGUAAUUAUAAAUAAAAUGUCGAAAUUCGUUGACAAUUUUUUAAUCUUUUAUGUGAUCGGUAUUUCAGUUGCAGAAAGUUCCAUGAAAUUAUUACAGGUUCCUCUCGUACCUCGUCUUACAAUAGCUCGCUCUUAGCUGGCAGCUGGGUAUACGCAGGCAAUUCGAUGAAGUACGGUUUGAUUCAUUCACAAGUGUCUGCGAUGUUCCUUGUAAUUGUUUAGCAUUGUUUCCCUUCAAAAUGUGAAUGACAGCUAAUCAUUCCGUUCGGCAUCAAUUAUAAAAGUUGUUCAUGAUUCGGACGAUCGUUACAUGCAUAGAAACUCAGAAUGGAUUGAAUUCUCGCGUUAUUUAAGUUGCUUUAAGUGUUAAAGGGAGUGAAGAAUGGACGUUGCGGAUAACGCUGACGAAGCUUUAGAUCCUCGCAUACAGAUUGAGUUGGAGAAUUUAAAUGAUGC